UCGAACGGAAACUCGUAUGAUCUUGUCGACAACAAACACUGGAACUGAACCUUGGAACUUAACUGCUUAGCUUACUCCUAUUGGCACAGCAUCCUCUUGGCUGCCAUCGGAGACAACACUAGCACAAACCGCUUAUUCCUCUGAUUAUCACACCUCUUCUGACUCCUUUGAUUCUUGAAUUACCAUAUAUUAUAGUCGAUAUUACCAUAUAUUAUAGUAGAUCUAGGUGAAGCGUGUUAGGAGCUCUAUCCUAUGUAGAAUUACCUUGUUUAGAAACCAUUAUCAGAUCGUAGAUUCCUUGCCUUGAGCUUUCAUUCCACUUUACCUACAAUACAAACGGAAUUGUCAACACCCUCUAUCUUCCCUCUGCUCUGACCUUACUUGCACAAGAGACUUUCACUUUCUACCGCACGGCUUACUCUCUUUGAAGUGGAAGUUCUGAAUUCAAUGGAAGAGCUCGAGCACCAAUAAUGGAAUGAUUUAAUAACACAGCUGAUUCUAUUGGGGCGGGAUACAACACUCGCACAACAUCUUCUCCUUCUCCUACUAUUACUGUUACGAGAUCGUAUAGAGGUGUGGAAUGUUAUUCAUUUCUAUACUAGGGCAAGAAAGAAAAAGUGAGAAUGGAAUUUCAUAGCAUAAGAAUUCCACUCGUUAGGCUGAACUUUAAUAACUCAUACGAAUGCGUAAAAACACAUCUGACUUUCGAUCUGAAGGGUACUCGUAGCCAAUCACCUCUCUUGUAUAUUUGUACACUGAUUCACUUAGGGCGCCCCAAGAUAUGAUUCUCUUCCCCGAACUCAUAUACUCGGUAAAGCCUAGCACCGACAGAGGAAACUCUGGAUUCCACUCGCCAAGUAACUGCUACAAACAAAGCAGCAAUAACAAAUCAUCCAUUUAUUGGUUGCUGCAGGUAAAGAAGAAGGAGACGGAGUUGGCACAUAAGCAGGUGACCGGGGGUGAAUGAGUGGAAUCUUU
rnacentral:lncRNA from 1 species